rnacentral:rRNA from 1 species
UCGAACGAAGAACCCUUGAAGUUUGUAUUCGACUUUCUGAUAGGAAUUCUUAGUGGCGAACGGGUGAGUAACGCGUUGGUGACCUGCCCCAAAGAGAGGAAUAACAGUUCGAAAGGACUGCUAAUACCUCAUGUGGUCAUGAGAUUUAGAAACUCAUGUCUAAAGGAGUAAUCCACUUUUGGGAGGGGCCUGCGUCCCCAUCAGCUAGUUGGUAAGGUAACGGCUUACCAAGGCGACGACGGGUAGGGGACCUGAGAGGGUGGCCCCCCACAAUGGAACUGAAACACGGUCCAUACACC